rnacentral:rRNA from 1 species
GCAGAAGAAGCACCGGCUAACUCCGUGCCAGCAGCCGCGGUAAUACGGAGGGUGCGAGCGUUAAUCGGAAUUACUGGGCGUAAAAGCGCAUGCAGGUGGUUGUUAAGUCAGAUGUGAAAGCCGGGGCUCAACCUCGGAAUUGCAUUUGAAACUGGCAAACUAGAGUACUGUAGAGGGGGUAGGAAUUUCAGGUGUAGCGGUGAAAUGCGUAGAGAUCUGAAGGAAUACCGGUGGCGAAGGCGGCCCCCUGGACCAGAUAACUGACACUCAGAUGCGAAAGCGUGGGGAGCAAACAGGAUUAGAUACCCUGGUAG